UACAGAGGGCCCAAGCGUUGUUCGGAUUCAUUGGGCGUAAAGGGUGUGUAGGUGGCGCCGUAAGUCGGGUGUGAAAUCUCGGGGCUUAACUCCGAAACUGCAUUCGAUACUGCGGUGCUUGAGGACUGGAGAGGAGACUGGAAUUCACGGUGUAGCGGUGAAAUGCGUAGAUAUCGUAAGGAAGACCAGUGGCGAAGGCGGGUCUCUGGACAGUUCCUGACGCUGAGGCACGAAGGCCAGGGGAGCAAACGGG
rnacentral:rRNA from 1 species